GAACUGCGAUAAGUAAUGUGAAUUGCAGAAUUCAGUGAAUCAUCGAGUCUUUGAACGCACAUUGCGCCCCCUGGCAUUCUGGGGGGCAUGCCUGUCCGAGCGUCAUUGCUGCCCUUCAAGCCCGGCUUGUGUGUUGGGUCGUCGUCCCCUCCGGGGGACGGGCCCGAAAGGCAGCGGCGGCACCGCGUCCGGUCCUCGAGCGUAUGGGGCUUUGUCACCCGCUCGAUAAGGACCGGCCGGGCGCCAGCCGGCGUCUCCAACCUUUUUUUCUCAGGUUGACCUCGGAUCAGGUAGGGAUACCCGCUGAACUUAAGC
rnacentral:misc_RNA from 1 species